UUUCCGUAGGUGAACCUGCGGAAGGAUCAUCAUAGGAAAAAAUUCUUUUUUUCUAUAGACUUACACCCCUUUGUGCUCCUUGUUCGAGGUCUGUAACAGGGCCUCGUUCAACCUUUUUAAAAAACAACCUUUUAAACAUUUUAAUUUAAAUACACCUUUAUAAAUAACCAAAAGACAACUUUUAACAACGGAUCUCUUGGCUCUC
rnacentral:misc_RNA from 1 species